AUGAUCAUAUCCCCCUCAUCCGACUCUUCCUCUGGUUCUUCCUUCUUCUCUUCCACAGCGGCAGGGGCCGCAGCAACCGACUCGGCUGCCACAGCUGGGGCUGCUGCAGCUGCAAAUUUGCUUGGAUCCUACAAAAUUUUCCAUAGGUUUGUCAUAUACCAUUUUCAAAUAUAACUCCUUCGCAUCUUCUAAUACAAAUUUCUUUUCAAAAUGGUAUGAUUUUACAAUUACAUUUAACAGAUAGAUGGAUCUUACGCAUGUCUAACAUAAGUGGAUACCACUAAAAUGUCAAUAAAAUUAUGCCAUAUAAAGAAAAGUUAGUAGUUAAAGAACGUAAUAAAAAGCUUAGCAAAUUUGAAAGUUGAAGUUAAGGUUUUAACUGUUAAAUGGUCUCAUCUAGAAUGUAAUUAAGGAGAUCAAAACAAAACUAAAUCAAACCAAAACUGGAUUUGCCUUUGAUAUAUAAAGGUGUCUAAAAGGGUUCAAGCCUAACGAACCUUCAAGAAUUCUUUGAUUUCAUCAGCCUCAGAGAAUGAAUAUUCAGUAGCGACAGCAAUGGCAAGAGCAUUCUUAUAGGCGUUGAUAAGCAUGUGGGGAGCAGCAGCAAGAGUUGGGAAAGACACAGCAAGAGAGAGAGAGGCAACCAUGGAAACCCCAGCAAGGAAUUUCUCG
rnacentral:lncRNA from 1 species